rnacentral:rRNA from 1 species
UCGGGAAUAUUGGACAAUGGGCGAAAGCCUGACCCAGCAACGCCGCGUGAAGGAUGAAGUAUUUCGGUAUGUAAACUUCGUAAGAAUAGGAAGAAUAAAUGACGGUACUAUUUGUAAGGUCCGGCUAACUACGUGCCAGCAGCCGCGGUAAUACGUAGGGACCAAGCGUUGUUCGGAUUUACUGGGCGUAAAGGGCGCGUAGGCGGUGUGUCAAGUCAGUUGUGAAAUCUCCGAGCUUAACUCGGAACGGUCAACUGAUACUGUCACACUAGAGUACAGAAGGGGCAAUCGGAAUUCUUGGUGUAGCGGUGAAAUGCGUAGAUAUCAAGAGGAACACCUGAGGUGAAGACGGGUUGCUGGGCUGACACUGACGCUGAGGCGCGAAAGCCAGGGGAGCAAACGGGAUUAGAUACCCACGUAGUCCCUGAGCGGGCUGGCAAGGCGCAU